AGAAACAUUCGGAUACGUCUCUUAAGCUGACCCAUUCACGGGCGUUCCAUCUAGCCAUAUAGAACGAUAGCACUCCAAUGAAGUUACGUGAAUUUCGAAUCCUCAUGUGAUUGGAGUGGAGUGAUGAGACGAGUUGGAAUUCCAUCCGGGCAAAAGACCUCCAAAAUUCUAUCGCUCCAACUCAUCGUGAAUUGGAAACCGCGCAACAAAGUGAUGGCACGAUGGAACGUUGGAGCGAUCACGAUGUCCAUUACGCGGAACAUUUCGCUUGUAAAAUUCCGCGCAACAUAUUCUCGGCACGUAGAUUUGCGCCAUCUGAUCUCUGCCAACGGGCUUCUCGGACGACGUAUCGAGAGCAGCACCAGCAGCAGGAGAAGAAGCAAGAGGAGGCUCUCUCAGCGGAGAAGGACGGCAAGUUCACCGACCGGACCGAGAAAGUUACCGAGAGAAAAGGAACGAGACCGGCUCUACUCUGUUCAUAUUCUCUCCGGCAGCACUCUUUGUGCCGCGUCGCGUCCGCUUCGUUUCCUGCUCGCUCUCCCGUUUGUUCGGUUCAGCAAAUGUAAAGGCAAAUUAAAAACGAGCGAGAAGAGGGCGGAAUUCAAUACAAAACCGGGGCCACACACACUCAGAACGAAUGGAAAUCGCACAUAGGGAAUUAUGACGUCUGCUUUUUUUCCUUUCUUUUUAUGGCGGUUACACAAACAAAUUGUGCAAGGUUCAUAUCAAGCUAUUUUUUUGUUCUUUGCGUUGGGUUGGAAGAUUUUAAUUUAUAAAUUAAUUUUGUUGCGAGAUAAAUUAGUGUAAUAUCUUUAGGAUGGCAACUGGUUCUUGAAUAGUUACAUUGAAACAAGUUUAACAGGGACCUUGAAAUGUCCUCGUGUAACUAUAAGUGGUUGCCACUAAUAGUAGAACCUUUAUAAGUGCUUGGUUACAGUUUACAUCAUCUUAACAGUUACCAACUUAAAUUGAUGUAUUCAUGCUCAAAUAUUUGAAAUGAAAUAAUUAUCAAAUUUUGUGAUUGCUCCAACAAGUGCCUUAAAUGUUGGUACUCCCAGAGUCAAAACUCCGAGGGCUUAAGCGCGCGCUGUCUCCGAACUAAACCAGACGACUACGACUACUAUCGCUGCCGUUGUCAGGUCCUUCUCUCCGCGAGAGUGUGCGAGUUCGACCGCCCCCGUGCAGACGCCGAGUCUACACUGGUCCGGUUCGGUUGUGCGAUACCGCGCGUUGUACUAGGUCAGGGACUCAACUCGCUUACUUCCCCCCUUUACUCCCCGAUGGGCGUCGUCGUCGUCGUCGUCAUCUAGGUGUGCUCGACGACGCCGUCGACACCGAACGCACUCGCAGCAGAUACGGUUGUUGCCCGAGUAUUUGGUUUUUGCUGCCCCCGUUUUGUGCACGCGGAAUCCCGUGUGUUGCCGUUGCUGCCACUGCUACUGCUGCUAAUCGGGCGGGCUCCCGGCCAAAUGGGAAGUGAACCGAAGGACGUGGUGUUGUGAUCUGUGAGUGUGCGGUUCGGAGUCGACUCAACAGUUUGUCGCGUGCCACACUGUUAUUCCACUACUACACACAAUUUGUCAAUCGCAGCUUCACUAUAACAUCAAAAAUUGUGUAGAUAAUAAAACGUUUUUAAUGAAAAAAAUUAUCUUGAAUCAAUAAAGCAUUAUCUUAUGUUG